UUAAUGGCUUAUCCCCACCACUGAUCUCACUUACCUGGCCAACCUGAUGAAUUAGAUUUUGAUUAGAUCACUUGGUGAUUAGGGCUCACCCAUGUCAUUAGGUAAAUCAGUUUGACUGAUUUAGGUGCUCCUAAUGCUAGCUUUAAUUAAAUCCUUUUUAAUCUGACUUGGUGAAGUCAGUGGGAGGAUUGAAAUUGGCUAGAUAUUUUUUUCUCAUCUAUCCUUUAAUAAAAUCCUCAAAAAUUAUUAGGUUCCUAAAAAUGAUUAAGUUAUAUUGAUAACUAAGUCAUAGCCUCCCAUUAAGUGAGUGAUAAUGAGUCCAUUAGUUUAAUAAUCAUUGGAGGCCCAAAGGCCUGGUGCUUAUUGACUAAUAAAAUUAUCAUUCAUAAUAUGAUAAUUUGAUUUGAGUCUUUCUGAUGGUGAUCAGGUUGGCCGGCCAAAGUCGGGCCUGAUCAUUUAUUGGUCUGAUUCACCAAAUCAAAUCAUGUUAAUGGUUGGACCUAUCCAGAUCUUUUCAGUGAAGGCCAAAGCCUACUGAUUAGGUUUUGGGGCAAAAUCAAUUACUAGAAGUUGUUUAGAGAAACAACUGGUUAUGAACCUACCCAUAGAUGCACAUGGGUUGACCAACCAAAGUUGGGCUCGUGUGUAGUCUGUGUGGAUUCUAGUACCCACUAAGGAAUUAAAGUAAUUCCU
rnacentral:lncRNA from 1 species